rfam:Triticum urartu cultivar G1812 contig419297, whole genome shotgun sequence.
CAAGUACUCCCUCCGUCCGGAAUUACUUGUCAUCAAAAUGGAUGUGUCUAGAACUAAAAUACAUCUAGAUACAUCCAUUUCAAUGACAAGUAUUUUCGGACGGAGGGAGUAUAAG